UGGAGGCAUGAGAAGGUGAGGCAGUCCAUCCAUGCUGCUCUCUACUGGUUAUAUCCUCCUACAGUAUCAAUGCGCCGGCUGCACGGAUUCCUAUGCCCAUUAGAGAGCCCGGCAGCCUCCGCAUUAACAUUCCAUUGGGCGAGAUUAG
ensembl:snoRNA